CUUAAUCCCAAAUUGUCGUUCGUUGUAAAAGUCGACGCAUCGGAACUCGUGGUAGAGGCAGUGCUCUCACAGCAUCAGGGAAACGGGGGAACGGUUACACGAUGGCGCCGCGGAUGGCCGCCUCGGUGUGGAGCUCCACAGUUGUUUUACUGUUUUUGUUAGUUUGCCCUGUCUUUAGUUAUACUCCGACAAUCAGUUUUACCAGGGAAGAACUGCUGAACAUUCGGCAGUACACACCACCCGACAUUUUACCGGUUUUCGACUUUUCUGACGUUUUGCUGGACAUUGUAGUCGGAGGUGCAGCGGCGCUGCUCAAGCGCUCCAAGCGCUCCAAGACGCGCAAGCGCGGAAAGCGAGCCGGCGCGCUUGUCAAGCUCCGAAAGCGCGGCUUUAGAACAGCGCUGCCUAGUAUCCAUCAGGCGAACCUCCGCUCCUUACCCAACAAAAUGGACGAACUUUUCCUCCUGUCCCAAAGAAACAAGGACUUUUUCAACUCUGCUGCUCUGUGCUUCACGGAAACCUGGCUGAAUGAAGCCAUCCCGGACAGCGCGCUACAUCUGCCGGGCUUCCAGCUGUUCAGAGCGGAUCGCGACGCGGAAUCAGCGGGGAAAUCACGUGGCGGUGGGACAUGCUUCUACAUCAACGAAAGGUGGUGUACAGAUGUGACAGCGUUGAAGAAGAUGUGCUGUCCAGACCUAGAAGCGCUCUUCAUCAACUGCAAGCCCUUCUACUCGCCGCGGGAGUUUUCCUCGUUCAUCCUCGUAAGUGUUUACAUUCCACCGCAAGCGUGCGUGAACGCAGCGCUGCAACAGCUGGGCGACCAGAUCACUGACACAGAGCAACAACACCCGGACUCUGUUAUAAUCAUUCUCGGGGACUUUAAUAAAGCAAAUCUCUCCCGUGAACUGCCAAAAUACAGACAGCAUAUUACAUGUCCCACCAGAGACAGUAAUAUUUUGGACCACUGCUACACCACAGUAAAGGAUGCAUAUCACUCUGUUCCACGGGCAGCUUUGGGGCUCUCUGAUCACUGCCUGGUUCAUCUUAUACCGACCUACAGGCAGAAACUGAAAUCAGCUAAACCUGUAAUAAGAACUGUUAAAAG
ensembl:lncRNA